CAAGUCGAACGGUGAACACGGAGCUUGCUCUGUGGGAUCAGUGGCGAACGGGUGAGUAACACGUGAGCAACCUGCCCCUGACUCUGGGAUAAGCGCUGGGAACGGCGUCUAAUACUGGAUAUGUGACGUGACCGCAUGGUCUGCGUCUGGAAAGAAUUUCGGUUGGGGAUGGGCUCGCGGCCUAUCAGCUUGUUGGUGAGGUAAUGGCUCACCAAGGCGUCGACGGGUAGCCGGCCUGAGAGGGUGACCGGCCACACUGGGACUGAGACACGGCCCAGACUCCUACGGGAGGCAGCAGUGGGGAAUAUUGCACAAUGGGCGCAAGCCUGAUGCAGCAACGCCGCGUGAGGGACGACGGCCUUCGGGUUGUAAACCUCUUUUAGCAGGGAAGAAGCGAAAGUGACGGUACCUGCAGAAAAAGCGCCGGCUAACUACGUGCCAGCAGCCGCGGUAAUACGUAGGGCGCAAGCGUUAUCCGGAAUUAUUGGGCGUAAAGAGCUCGUAGGCGGUUUGUCGCGUCUGCUGUGAAAUCCGGAGGCUCAACCUCCGGCCUGCAGUGGGUACGGGCAGACUAGAGUGCGGUAGGGGAGAUUGGAAUUCCUGGUGUAGCGGUGGAAUGCGCAGAUAUCAGGAGGAACACCGAUGGCGAAGGCAGAUCUCUGGGCCGUAACUGACGCUGAGGAGCGAAAGGGUGGGGAGCAAACAGGCUUAGAUACCCUGGUAGUCCACCCCGUAAACGUUGGGAACUAGUUGUGGGGUCCAUUCCACGGAUUCCGUGACGCAGCUAACGCAUUAAGUUCCCCGCCUGGGGAGUACGGCCGCAAGGCUAAAACUCAAAGGAAUUGACGG
rnacentral:rRNA from 1 species